AUGUACCCCACUCUCUUCUGGUAUGUUCAGUAUCCUGGAGAACGUCCACAGGUCCUGCUGAAAGCUGCAACGGUCACUGAAAAGGGAAGCAACAAAGGUUUUGAAGCCUCAUACCGCAGAAAACCAAAUUCCUUCAACUUGGAGAAACGCUCACCCCACGUGUCAGAUUCGGCAACAUACUACUGUGUUCAGAUGACACAAGACCUGAAACUGAAGAACAAGAUAUUUUUCACCUAUUGGGAGAACUUGACCAUGUUCUUCAGCCUUCUGAAGGUGGUCCUGGCUUCAAUGUGGCUAGGAUCCAGUAUUGCCCAGAAGGUAACUCAAGGACAACCAGCAAUGUUAGUGCAGGAGAAGGAGGCUGUGACCCUGGACUGCACAUAUGACACCAGAGAUAGUCGUUAUAGUCUAUUUUGGUACAAGCAGUUCAGCAGUGGGGCUCUGAUUUUUCUUAUUCGUCAGGACUCCUAUAACCAGAAAAAUGCCACUGAAGGUCGCUACUCAUUGAAUUUUCAGAAAGCAAACAGUUCUGUCAACCUCGUCGUCUCAGCUUCACAGCUGGAGGACUCUGCAGUGUAUUUCUGUGCCCUGAGUGAGCCCACAGUGAGAGAUGUGUAG